AUGCAGGUGUUAUCGGUUUUCAGCAUGGAUAGCAGGAACUUCCACGGGUUGAAUGGUACAUAUGUGAAUCUGCCAUCUAAGAUCACAAUUGUGUCACGACCCAAGUACAGAGAUGGGACGGACAAACGGAUUCAGUACCAAUCGUUGAUACAAGUUGAAGAUACAGUGGAGAUUUGGGAUGAGAAAUCAGCAAAGAGAUGUGAGGAAUACAGAGAGGCGGAGGUGAGGAGCGAGAGCAGAGGUGAGGAGCUUCAGAAGUUUCAGUCAUUCAUUCGCUGCCCUUCCUUGUGCUCUCCUGAUUGCAUAUGUAGCCUGUGCUGUGUGGGAACUAACCUCCAAUGA
rnacentral:rRNA from 1 species